CAAAGCCUCCCUCUGUGUCAGUGAGUCCCUCUGGUGAGAUCAUGGAGGGCAGCUCGGUGACUCUGACCUGCAGCAGUGAUGCUAACCCAGCAGCUCACUACACCUGGUACAAGGAGGACGAGGACUCACCAACAGCAUCAGGACAAAUCUUCACCAUCACUGAUAUCACAGCUGAACAUGGUGGAAAGUAUCAGUGUGAGGCCCAGAACACACAUGGACGUAGUAAGGCCACCUUACACCUGACUGUUGGAGCAGAGAAGUCAGUGAUAAUCAUGAAUACCAUCAGGUACACUCUGGUGGUCGUGCUGGUUCCAGUGCUUGUCUGGACUCUGUGGACAAGGAUGAAGAAAACUCUGAGCUUGAAAUCAAAAGUGAAUGAAGCUGUGGAGAUGAUAGAGGUGAGAGACAGUGAGGCCAAAAGAAUGACUCCAUAUCACUGUUUUCAUCUCGCAAUGUUAGAGAAAGAGAUAAAACAUUUCUUGGAUCAUCUAAUUUGUCUGAAUCUGCCCGUAAAUGUAAAAGGUUCCACCCCCUCUCCUCCAAAUAUGGUUACUUCUGGUUUCAUAAAAACAAGAUGGCGCUGGACAACAUGUCAAAAAUAGAGGAUUCAAAAUGGCCGCUCACAAACCAAUGACGGUGACUUCACAGUGCUUUGACUCUUCUUUCUUGGCCCAUGUCCCGUCCUUCCACCAAGUUUUGUGGAAAUCAGUUUAUCAGUUUUUGUGUAAUCCUGCUGAUGAACAAACAAACAAAUGGACAGGGGACGCAACUACGUUCAAACUAUUUUGAAUGAACUGUGAUUAUUUGCAGGUUUCAUGAAUAAAGUCCAGUGAGGAUUAAUAUUUUCUCAUCUGUCCCCCAUCAGUUAGACAACUCUCCUGAGUAUGAGAACAACGCUGCUGCAGCACAGACAGAAGACACAGAGGAGCAGGAAGACCUGGUGUGAAGCCUCAGGUGCACUGUGAUUGGUUGAUGGAAGUAUUUAGGAGGAAACAGGAAGUAUCCGUCUCUCCAUCCCCAGUUGCAGCAGCAGCAGUUUGUACAGCAUGACCUUCAGAUCAAGAGUAUUGUUGUGUUGUGUCUUUUCUUUUUCUUUUCUGAUGGGUCCAGUCAUCCAGUUUUCGCAGCUUUAUUUCUGUGAGCUUUAGUUCUGAUGUUGGUUUAGGUUGAAGGAAGAUUCUCAGAUCCUACGACCCUUUGUGGGUUGUUGUGUUGGGUUUUCCUUCUUUUGUCCAAUUUGCUGGCCUGUUGUUGAAGUUGUUGUCUUUUCUGCAAUAAAUACAUUUUUUUUAUGCUGUUACCCUCUGAACUAUGUUGGACGUCUUGGUGAUGACAUUUUGAGGCUGUGGUAACACCAUGUGACUCAUGUUGUUUCUUAUAUGUGAUAUUAAUGAGGUUAUUACAUGGAUAAUGAAUUAUUAUGU